ACAUCGCUGGCACCGUGUUGG
rnacentral:misc_RNA from 1 species